rnacentral:lncRNA from 1 species
AGUACUCAAACCUGGAGGGACAGUUGACCUUUUUUUUUCCCAAUAACACAGAAUUAGGACUGAAUUUUAAGGGAUAAUAAUUGACUUCCUUGGAGGAAGGAAGAUAAGUGCAAAUUCUCAGGAUCAGCAGGGAAAUUCGGUUUGGUGUGAAUUUUAGUAUCUGCAGGUAUGAGAAACCAACAGAGAAAAAAGACAUCACAGCAGGUAGCAACUGGCUUAAUGUGAAAACUACUCAGGAUACUAGUUGAAAAAGAAGGUAAAUCCAACUGAGGUCUGUUUCUGGUGAGAAUGCUAUAGCCCAGUUGUUGCCUAUAUUCGAUAUGCCCUUAAAAUUGAUCAGAAACAAGUCUCACGAUUCUGGAGACAAGAAAGUCCACAAUCAAGGUGCUGGCAGAUCCGGUGACAGAAACUCUUAUCAACAGAGCAAACAGACAACCUAUAGAAUGGGAGAAAAUAUUUGCAAGAUAUGCAUCUGACAAAGUUCUGACAUCCAACAUCUAUAAGGAGCUUGAACAAAUUCAUAAGGAAAAAACAAACAACCCCAUUGAAUUUUCUGAUGACUAAUAAUGCUGAACACAUUUUCAUGUGCGUAUUUUCCAUUGAUAUAUCUUCUUUAGUGAGGUCUUUAUUUUUCCAAUCAUUUGCCAUUUUAAAAAUUAGAUAGUUUGUUGUCUUGAGUUGUGAAAGUUUUUAUGUAUUCUGAUAUGUCUUUUUCAGGUACAAGGUUUGCAAAUUUGAGAUUCCUUUUAGUCUCUCCAUAUUGCAUGUUUCCUACUAAAAUAAAGUUGCAACUAAAGAGAUUGAACUACUGAAUACAAACUAACAAAUGCAUGAUUUUAAGAUUUUUAAAAGACAAUUAUAUGAUAAGUUAGAGUAAAUGGCUAUUACUGAAUUAGUUGCUUAAAGAAAUUGAGUAAAAAAACUCUCAACAUACCAAAAAAAGGUAAUAUUGCAAAAAACUAUAGAAAGAGAUUUCUCUAACCUUAAGCAAGACGUUAUACUGUCAAAUUGAAGCUUUAAUUGUGGUCUAGACAGCACUUAUUUUAAAAGACUUUAGCAUACCUUGUACAAUUGUUGGAAUCUCAAGACAAGGAAACAAAAAAUCUCUCUGACAGAAAGAUAAAGUGUAUGGCUUUUCUGCACUUCAGCUUAAUGAUGUAAUCUAUUAUGGCAAUACAUUUUCUGAUAUGGAAAAAUUAACACAUUCCUAGAAUAAUUUCUAUCCUUUUUAUACUUUGCUAGGUACUAUUUUCUAAUGUUUUAUUUAAAAAUUACACAUCUAUUUUUUCAAUGGGUAUUCUUUCUCUGUUUUCUUUCUCCAUCUUAUUCAUGUUUUAGUAUUUAGAAAUAGGUAACUGCCUAAAACAAACAAACAAAAAAAACUUUUAUCUUUUUUUAUCAUUUUUCUUUUCUUUUUAUUUAUUUAGUUAGUUAGUUAGUUAGUUAUUUUUGAGACAGACUGUCACUCUGUCACCCUGGCUGGAGUGAGUGCUGUGGUGUGAUUUCAGCUCACUGCAACCUCUGCCUCCUGGGUUCAAGUGAUUCUCAUGCCUCAGCCUCCUGAGUAGCUGGAGUUACAGAUGUGCACCACCGCACCCGGCUAAUUUUUGUAUUUUUAGUAGAGACGGGGAAUCACCAUGUUGGCAAGGCUGGUCUUGAACUCCUGACCUCAAGUCAAGUCAUCCACCCACCUUGGCCUCUUAAAGUGCUGGGAUAACAGGCAUGAGUCACUGCGCCUGGCUGUCAACUUUUACCUUUUCUGAUUAGUUGGAAUACUUAAGUUUCAGGAUAAUUUUUUUUUUUUUUUUUUUUUAGAGAUUAGAUAAACCUCUUUUAUGAAAUUAUGUUGUCCUGGAGCCUUUAUACAAAACACACACACAUGCACUCUUUAAUCAUCACCUUUCCAAUCUCUUCUAAAAUCAUUUGUAUAUUUAUUUUAGUGUGCUUUUCUCUUUUCUUGGAUCAAUUUUGGGAAUGUAUACUUUACUAGGAUAUAAUCUAAUCUAUUGUAUUACAGCUUUUGCUAGAAUCACCAAGCAUGUUGAAUCAUAGUAAGUAUUUUAAAUUUGUAAAAAGUCAGUUGUGACUCCAGAAUAUUUACCAUUUGGAAACAGAAGCAGAGAAGAUCACAGACAGUUUACAUUCAAUAUGAUGAAAAAUAAAGAGCCACCAUGCUUUGUUCCUUCUCCUAAGGUUUUCAAUCCAGUCAUAACACCAGCGUUGACUGUUUUUAUUCCUAACAGAUGCUUGUUAUAUUCUCAGUUUGAUUACAAAUUCAGAGGAGGAAAAAACGUGACUUGUCAGCCCUCUUAAACCAAAAGAAAACAUUAAAAAGUAAUAAUAGGGACUAUGAAAGAGCAAGAGUACAUACAACCUACCUAAUAUGUAUGUCUCUUCAUGUCUCUUCAGCACUGUACUGUGUUCAACAUCGAUGAUAAAUAAAAUUUUCAUUUUUCAAUUUAAAACUAAAUUUAAAAUUAAUACAAUUAUCAGUUUAUCAAUUAAGGUAUUUAUUAAUCAGGCAUCUUCACUAUCAUUAAAUAAUAGUUUAUUAGAUAAUUAUGAUUAAUAGUUCAUUAAGAGGGUUAUUUAAUGAUAAUGAAUAUCUGGUGAGCAAUUUCUAUUAAGCAUCUACCAUAUGCAGAUUUUAUGCUUGACUUUAGGGAUUCAAUGUUGUGUUAUUUAACAUUACAAUCCGUGAACAUCUUAUGUUCUAGUGCUUGUUACUGUACUAUAGGCUAUAUCAAAGAUAAGCCAUCAGAGAUGAUUUAAUUUGAAUUUCUUUUAAACAAAUUAAAAAUUAAAUUAUCUGUACUGUUGCAAUACCCGUUUUCCUCAACUUUCUCUUUUCCUUUGCAUUCUACAUUUAUGGGCAGAAAUUUGAAAAGAAAAGAAAAAUGCUGAGCUCUCAUGUUUGAAAAAAAAAAGAGGAAUGUUGAUUCCUCAAAAACACUAUUCAUCCGCAUAGUCUGUUUGAUACACCCAAGAAUACUACCAAGAGG